rnacentral:lncRNA from 1 species
AUUUCUGAACCUCAGUUUGGCUUAUCGUAUUGAGAAAGAAUCUGAUUGAUAUAUACACUACAACAGAAUUAGGUUAUAGGGACACAUGUUUGGGACAUUUUUGAGUAAGAGUAAGUGUCCCAUUUAUGCUAAAACUUAAAAAAACAUCUACUUAUGCCUAAAUAUAAAGCCCAAUCCAACCAAAAAUAAAAGAUUACUCUACUCAACCCGCCACACCCAGUCCAUUUGACCCGAUUACAAACAGAAAAGAAAAAAAAAACGAAAAAUCAAUUACCAUCUUUUCUUCUCUCUUCACUCAAUCCACUGAAAUUCUAGACGAAGAGCCUUUUCUGUCGUCCUCCUCCCCCACCGCAACCAACGAGAUAGAGUUUCGGCGGUUGCUAAAUGCUUAAAUAAGUGUUGGUAAAUUAGCAACACUCUUUUAGGUUAUAGCGACACUCUUUAACUGUCACUAUAUACCUAGCGACCCCACAUAUAGCAACACUUUUUAAAAGUGUCGGUAAUUUUAGCUAUCAGCACUUUUUUGACAUGUACCUACAUUUAAAAGUGUCGCUAUACACCAUUUUUGUUGUAGUGAUAUUUCACCUUGUCAACAUCUCCGCAAGUUCGGUUCGCAAUCCAAUAUAUAUAUGAGUAGUUUUAAGAAUCUGCUUUUUAU